rnacentral:rRNA from 1 species
AUUGAACGCUGGCGGCAGGCCUAACACAUGCAAGUCGAGCGGAAACGACUUAACUGAACCUUCGGGGAACGUUAAGGGCGUCGAGCGGCGGACGGGUGAGUAAUGCCUGGGAAUAUGCCUUGAUGUGGGGGAUAACCAUUGGAAACGAUGGCUAAUACCGCAUAAUCUCUUCGGAGCAAAGAGGGGGACCUUCGGGCCUCUCGCGUCAAGAUUAGCCCAGGUGGGAUUAGCUAGUUGGUGAGGUAAUGGCUCACCAAGGCGACGAUCCCUAGCUGGUCUGAGAGGAUGAUCAGCCACACUGGAACUGAGACACGGUCCAGACUCCUACGGGAGGCAGCAGUGGGGAAUAUUGCACAAUGGGCGCAAGCCUGAUGCAGCCAUGCCGCGUGUGUGAAGAAGGCCUCGGUUGUAAG